GCGGAUGUGGCGGAACUGGCAGACGCACCAGACUCAAAAUCUGGCGGUAGUGAUAUCGUGUGGGUUCGAGUCCCACCAUCCGCACUA
rnacentral:tRNA from 1 species